GGAGGCAUGCAAUCAAAAUAACCUCAUCUCUCUCUCCAACUAGAUCUCUACGUCCAGCGGAUAUUCAACAAAACGGCUAAAGGAAAAAGGCGGGACAUGGCUCCAAUGUUCUCCAGCGCCGGCCUCCGGCCAUGUCCUUCCCCAUCCCUGCCAACUGUAAUGACGUGUUUCAAGUAUGAAAUUAGAUCGAAAAGCAAUCGAGGCGCAGAAACUAACAGGCGACUAUCGACAUGUCAGCUGCGACGAGAACAACGUACGGCUGCUGCAGACGCGCA